rnacentral:rRNA from 1 species
GACGAACGCUGGCGGCGUGCCUAAUACAUGCAAGUCGAACGCAGUGGGGACGGGGGAGUAACAAGUGGGUGACCUCCCAGCUGAGGGGAUAAAACUUGGAAACAGGUGCUAAACCGAUACUGAUGGAUGGACCCGGGGUGCAUUAGCUAGGUGGUGGGGUAACGGCUCACCAAGGCCACGAGGCAUAGCUGACCUGAGAGGGUGAUCGGCCACACUGGAACUGAGACACGGCCCAGACUCCUACGGGAGGCAGCAGUGGGGAAUCUUGGGCAAUGGGCGAAAGUCUGACCGAGCAACGCCGCGUGAGUGAAGAAGGUUUUCGGAUUGUAAAGCUCUGUUGGUGGGGAAGCGGUAUCUAACCAGAAAGCAACGGCUAACUACGUGCCAGCAGCCGCGGUAAUAC